UGUGAGCUCGAUGAGUAGGGCGGGACACGUGGUAUCCUGUCUGAAUAUGGGGGGACCAUCCUCCAAGGCUAAAUACUCCUGACUGACCGAUAGUGAACCAGUACCGUGAGGGAAAGGCGAAAAGAACCCCGGCGAGGGGAGUGAAAAAGAACCUGAAACCGUGUACGUACAAGCAGUGGGAGCACAGAGCAAUCUGUGUGACUGCGUACCUUUUGUAUAAUGGGUCAGCGACUUAUAUUCUGUAGCAAGGUUAACCGAAUAGGGGAGCCGAAGGGAAACCGAGUCUUAACUGGGCGUUAAGUUGCAGGGUAUAGACCCGAAACCCGGUGAUCUAGCCAUGGGCAGGUUGAAGGUUGGGUAACACUAACUGGAGGACCGAACCGACUAAUGUUGAAAAAUUAGCGGAUGACUUGUGGCUGGGGGUGAAAGGCCAAUCAAACCGGGAGAUAGCUGGUUCUCCCCGAAAGCUAUUUAGGUAGCGCCUCGUGAAUUCAUCUCCGGGGGUAGAGCACUGUUUCGGCAAGGGGGUCAUCCCGACUUACCAACCCGAUGCAAACUGCGAAUACCGGAGAAUGUUAUCACGGGAGACACACGGCGGGUGCUAACGUCCGUCGUGAAGAGGGAAACAACCCAGACCGCCAGCUAAGGUCCCAAAGUCAUGGUUAAGUGGGAAACGAUGUGGGAAGGCCCAGACAGCCAGGAUGUUGGCUUAGAAGCAGCCAUCAUUUAAAGAAAGCGUAAUAGCUCACUGGUCGAGUCGGCCUGCGCGGAAGAUGUAACGGGGCUAAACCAUGCACCGAAGCUGCGGCAGCGACGCUAUGCGUUGUUGGGUAGGGGAGCGUUCUGUAAGCCUGUGAAGGUGUGCUGUGAGGUAUGCUGGAGGUAUCAGAAGUGCGAAUGCUGACAUAAGUAACGAUAAAGCGGGUGAAAAGCCCGCUCGCCGGAAGACC
rnacentral:rRNA from 1 species